GACACUGGAAGGCUGGGCAAGGACUGUUGUGACUGGCAGGGCAAAACUUGGAGGAAUCCCUGUAGGAAUAGUUGCUGUUGAAACCCAAACUAUGAAGCAAGUUAUCCCUGCGGAUCCUGGACAGCUUGAUUCUCACGAAAGGGUUGUCCCUCAAGCAGGGCAAGUAUGGUUUCCCGACUCUGCAACUAAAACAGCUCAAGCAUUAAUGGACUUCAAUAGAGAGGAGCUGCCCCUUUUCAUUCUUGCCAACUGGAGGGGAUUUUCAGGUGGACAGAGGGAUCUCUUUGAAGGUAUCCUUCAAGCAGGAUCAACCAUUGUCGAGAACCUCAGAACAUACAAGCAGCCUGUUUUUGUUUACAUCCCUAUGAUGGGUGAACUCCGUGGUGGGGCAUGGGUGGUUGUGGACAGUAAGAUCAAUUCAGACCACAUCGAAAUGUAUGCGGAACGGACAGCCAGGGGAAAUGUCCUUGAGCCGGAAGGUAUGAUUGAAAUUAGAUUCAGAACAAAAGAACAGCUCGAGUGCAUGGGUAGGACUGACCAACAGCUUAUCAAUCUCAAGUCAAAGCUUCAGGAAGCCAAGACCGCAGGGGUAUACGCUAAUGUUGAUGCCCUAGUGAAGCAAAUUAAAACCCGUGAGACACAGCUUUUGCCCGUAUACACGCAGAUAGCUACAAAGUUUGCAGAGUUACAUGAUACUUCGUCAAGAAUGGCGUCCACGGGGGUGAUCCGUAAAAUAGUAGAUUGGGAAACUUCUCGUUCAUUCUUUUACGGACGUCUGCUUCGAAGAGUAGAGGAGGAAAUGUUGGUCAAAACUGUGAGGAAUGCUGCUGGUGACCAGCUUUCUUAUAAAUCUGCUAUGGGUAUGGUGAAAAGCUGGUUUUUGGAUUCAAAACAAGGCAAUGUAGAUGCUUGGAUCGAUGAUGAAGCCUUUUUCUCAUGGAAGAAUGACCCCAAGAACUAUGAAGAACAACUACAAGAAUUGCGGGUGCAAAAGGUACUACUUCAGCUAUCGAAGAUUGGUGAUUCGACAUUGGAUUUACAUGCCCUACCACAAGGUCUUCUUUCCCUCCUACAGAAGGUCGAGCCAGCAACACGAGAGCAUUUGAUCAGUGACCUAAAAAAGGUGCUUAAUUAGUCAAGCAGCUCGUAACCUGUCAGCAAUCAUUGCCUUCCAUUUGAUCAGACAGUUUCCUGCCAACCAGUCCAUCCACCUCUAUGGAGAAGCAGCACGGUUAGCACACAAUCUGUACCACGAUGUGUUCUCUCUUCACUAUCGAUAAUACAUUGUAAAGCUAGGCAGAACCACUGGUUUAAAUUUGUCUUGCAGAGUGUAAAUAUUUAGCAUCUUGAGAGUGAGCAGGGUGUAGUCUUCAUUCGUUUGAGCAGAAAGAUUCGCGGUUCAGCAGGCUCCUUACCUGCAGACCUGAUCACUCUUUUAUGUAUAAUUACAUCGUCA
rnacentral:misc_RNA from 1 species